rnacentral:rRNA from 1 species
GUUUCCUACGGGAGGCAGCAGUCGAGAAUCAUUCACAAUGGGGGAAACCCUGAUGGUGCGACGCCGCGGGGGGGAAUGAAGGUCUUCGGAUUGUAAACCCCUGUCAUGUGGGAGCAAAUUAAAAAGAUAGUACCACAAGAGGAAGAGACGGCUAGCUCUGUGCCAGCAGCCGCGGUAAUACAGAGGUCUCAAGCGUUGUUCGGAAUCACUGGGCGUAAAGCGUGCGAAGGCUGUUUCGUAAGUCGUGUGUGAAAGGCGCUGGCUCAACCCGCGGACGGCACAUGAUACUGCGAGACU